UACGUAGGGAGCAAGCGUUGUUCGGAUUUACUGGGCGUAAAGGGCGCGUAGGCGGCAUAUUAAGUCAUCUGUGAAAUCUCCGAGCUUAACUCGGAACUGUCAGCUGAUACUGAUGUGCUAGAGUGCGGAAGGGGCAAUCGGAAUUCUUGGUGUAGCGGUGAAAUGCGCAGAUAUCAGGAGGAACACCGGUGGCGAAGGCGGGUCUCUGGACAGUUCCUGACACUGAGGCACGAAGGCCAGGGGAGCAAACGGGG
rnacentral:rRNA from 1 species